GCCCGGAUGGCGAAACUGGUAGACGCAAGGGACUUAAAAUCCCUCGGCCUAGGCCGUGCCGGUUCGACUCCGGCUCCGGGCACCA
rnacentral:tRNA from 2 species